rnacentral:rRNA from 1 species
UAGAGUUUGAUCAUGGCUCAGGAUUAACGCUGGCGGCGUGCCUAAUACAUGCAAGUCGAACGGAAGUACCUUCGGGUACUUUAGUGGCGAACGGGUGAGUAAUACAUAGGUAACCUACCCUUAAGACGAGGAUAGCCAUUGGAAACGAUGGAUAAAACUGGAUAGGAUAUAGAGGAAGAAUCUUUUAUAUUUAAAAGAGAGAUCUGCUUAAGGAGGGGCCUGUGGCGCAUUAGCUAGUUGGUGGGGUAAGGGCCUACCAAGGCGAUGAUGCGUAGCCGGACUGAGAGGUUGAACGGCCACAAUGGAACUGAGAACGGUCCAUACUCCUACGGGAGGCAGCAGUAGGGAAUUUUCGGCAAUGGGGGGAACCCUGACCGAGCAACGCCGCGUGAACGAAGAAGUUAUUCGUAAUGUAAAGUUCUUUUAUCAGGGAAGAAAGAGGAAUUUGACGGUACCUGAGGAAUAAGCUCCGGCUAACUACGUGCCAGCAGCCGCGGUAAUACGUAGGGAGCGAGCGUUAUCCGGAAUUAUUGGGCGUAAAGGGUGCGUAGAUGGCAUAGUAAGUCUUUUGUAAAAAUGCUGGGCUCAACCCAGUAGGGCAAAAGAUACUGCAAAGCUAGAGUAUGACAGAGGCAAGUGGAACUACAUGUGUAGCGGUAAAAUGCGUAAAUAUAUGUAAGAACACCAGUGGCGAAGGCGGCUUGCUGGGUCGAUACUGACAUUGAGGCACGAAAGCGUGGGGAGCAAACAGGAUUAGAUACCCUGGUAGUCCACGCCCUAAACGAUGAGUACUAAGUGUUGGUGAGAAUCAGUGCUGAAGUUAACGCAUUAAGUACUCCGCCUGAGUAGUACGUACGCAAGUAUGAAACUUAAAGGAAUUGACGGGAGCCCGCACAAGCGGUGGAGCAUGUUGUUUAAUUCGACGAUACGCGAAGAACCUUACCAGGUCUUGACAUAGCACGCGAAGGCGUAGAGAUACGUUGGAGGAUAGCGUGCAUACAGGUGGUGCAUGGUUGUCGUCAGCUCGUGUCGUGAGAUGUUGGGUUAAGUCCCGCAACGAGCGCAACCCUUAUUUCUAGUUACCAGCAGUAAGAUGGGGACUCUAGAGAGACUGCCAUUGAUAAAAUGGAGGAAGGUGGGGAUGACGUCAAAUCAUCAUGCCCUAUAUGACCUGGGCUACAAACGUGCUACAAUGGCUGAAACAAAGAGAAGCGAGCCCGCGAGGGGGAGCGAACCUCAAAAAAGCAGUCUCAGUUCGGAUUGAAGUCUGCAACUCGACUUCAUGAAGAUGGAAUCGCUAGUAAUCGCGAAUCAGAAUGUCGCGGUGAAUACGUUCUCGGGCUUUGUACACACCGCCCGUCAAACCAUGAGAGUUUGUAAUACCCGAAGCCGGUGGCCUAACGAAAGAGGGAGCCGUCUAAGGUAGGACAGAUGAUUGGGGUUAAGUCGUAAUCAAGGUAACCGUA